rnacentral:lncRNA from 1 species
AUGACUGCAAACAGAAGAAAGACCAGGACGCAGCAGCUGAACUUUUUCUUCAGGUUGGUGUGAAUCAUAAUGAAGAUGUGUUCAGGGAAGUCACUUUGUUCUGAGCAGGAAAACAAGCCUAAAAAAAGUGAGACAAGGAAAAACAAAUGAUGUAAAGAAAAACCCAAUGUGGCAUGAGGCGGAGCGAUGGACUGAGCAAUAGAUUUGAAAUGAGGUGACUUGAAUUCCAGCCCUGGUCUACCUCCUGGCCACCUCUGCAGCCUGUUAAGCAAUUCUCGACAAAAGUCAGACUCAAUUUGGGCUUUGAACGUGGACAGCAGUCCCUCUUCCUCUUCCACUCUUCCACUCCCUUCUUCCUCUUGAGCCAUGAACACUUUAUAUGUCCUCCCAUCAUUACUUUUUCUAUGCUGAAUAUUAGUUUCUGGUUGCCUUGGUCUACCUCUCUGACUGCACUCUGAGUUUCUUGAAGUCAGAAACCACAUCUUGCAAAUCACUCAGUUCCUAGGGCCUUGUAACAUUUGUUAAAUGAAGCCAUGCAUGCUUGAAAAAAAAAUAGAAUAAAAAAAAGCAGGCUGACUGUUUUACAUCACCAGACCUAAACUUCCUAAAAUAGUAAGUGGCCCAACACCCCUUCAAAAUGGCCAGAAAAAGACUUCUCGUUAUAGAUGAUGCCAUAGAUUUCUGAUGUAUCUCUCUAAGGGCUGCGAUGCUGGACUCCUGCAUGAGAAGAUCGAGGGUUAUCUCCACCACAGUUUUGUGCAGUGCCCUGCAAGAAGAGCACUGCUGAGACAGGAAGCUGACUCACCUCAUGAUAGAGGCUAGGAAUUCUGGGUAAGAUAGCAGACAUGUAGCCAACUAAGGAAAUGGAAACAAAAAUUCAUUAAGCACGCUAGAUGUUAUUUCACUUAACUUCACCAUAACCAGGGCCACCAUGAGACACAACUCUGGGGGCACCACGCAUAGCAUAGUCUAAUACGAAGGGCAUCUCCUAACCUGUACAGGGUUCACUUCAAAGGUGUUAUAAUCUCCAUUUUAUGGAUUAGCAACCUGAGGCUCUAAGAAGUCAAGGGAAGUGCCCAAGCUCACAGAGCUGAGGAAAUGGUUGCACUGAGGUUCAAAUCGAAGUGGAUUUGAUUCCAUAACCCAUGUCCUUUCCAGUACAACAUGCACAGAACUGCAAGAAGCUCUGGAAAAUAGAUUUCACUGAGCAAAUAGAGACUGAAUAGUCUCUUUAUUUCUGAGUAAACACCUACUUUGUUUUCUCAGAAUUUAUUGUGUAACUGAAUGGAAACUGGAAGCACUUUGAACUCAAAUAAUGUCUGUAUCUUUUGGAAAACAUUACAUUCUUUCCCCAAUCACUGGGUUUAUUUACAAUAAUAAAUCAAAGCAAUCACCUCCGGGGUUUUGCUAACCCACUAGGGGUCUGAGGUCCCUUCCCAUGGAUCCCGCUCCUAAGGAUAUCAGGAAAAGGUAGUAGGAGUACUGGACUGGGUGUUCACAAAACCUGGGUUCUUAUCCCCAUUCUUGGUGACCUUGGGCAGGUCACUUAAUAUUUCUGCCCCUGAGUUUUUCAGAAUAAUUAUCUCUGCCCUAUGUGAUUUGCAGAGUGUUGGGAGGGCAAAACAAGAGCAUGGUAUUCAUUGGAUUUGAACUAGAUAAGCAAAAAGGCACAGAAGGUAUUCUGAACAGAGACAGGAGAGCAGCAGCUCAGCCUGGGGGCCAUGUGGAGGUGAUACGGGUAGUGAAGACAGCAGUGUGAAGCCACAGCCAUGACUCAGCAGCCCUGAGCUCCAGGCUCUUCCCUGGGAAUUCUCCAUGAACUGACAUCCAGCUCAUUCCUGGAAUCCAUUGGCAGUACCAACCAAAGCAGUGCUUCCACCAUCCCAGACCUCAGGAACCAGUGACUCUGGGAACGAUGGGCUCCUAUCUUGGGCUGCUGAAGUUGUGGAAAUGAUUAAAUGUACACAGUGGAAGAAGAAUUCAGAUAGAAGAUCAUGAAGUGAAGGGUGGAAGCUUGUUGUAUUACCAGAAACUAAGGAAUUCAAUUUCCGCAGACACCCAACACAGGUAAUCACAUGACCAUAUGACAACUGAAGAAGAACUAGAGAAAAGAAGGAAAGUAGCAUUUAAGGAGGGCCUACUACGUGGUAGUCACUUUCCUUGCAAUAUCUCAUUGAACCUUUACUACAACACUAUGAUAGAGAUAUUGACAAUCCUAUUUUAGGAAAUGGAAAAAACUGAGACUUAGCAAGGUUAUAGGGUUUCUCCAAUGUCAACAGCAAGUCAGUUCUAGAACCAGAAUUCCAGCCCAGGUCUGUCUGACUCUAAAAGUUCAUCAUCUUUCCACCCAAGGACAUGCAUCUGUGAUAAGGGACAGUGAGAAGUCAGUGUGAUCAAGUCGGACUCAAGGUCACUAGAGAGGCAACUUCGUCUGUCAGACAGUCGCAGACAAGCCACCUUCACCAUCAGUGCUGCACCUGCCAUCCCUGCUGUGCACUGAGUGGUAACACUCAGGUACUUUCCGUAUUGGUAAGGUUUUACAGACCUAUUAUACUCCCGUGAGAUAAGCACAGCAGAUUUUAUGAGCUCCAUUUAUAGCUGAGUAUAGUGAGGUUUGGAAAUACAAAUAAUUUUCAAAGUUGCAUGAGUGAUUUGGAAAUAGUGGACUUAGAACCUGACUUUCACAUGUCUGAAUGAAACAAGAUGGCAGGAAGGGCCUGAUUCACUGUCACAGGAGUGGAGGCUCAGGCAGCAGCUGCCCAGUACCUACUCUCCAAGGUGUGGUUUCCCAGGAAAGAAGAGUUCCUCCAAACAGCUGGGUCUAGCGACAGUCUUGCAACCAUCAGACAGCCUCAGCCUUCACAGCCUGUGCUCUGUCAUGGCCUCAGGGCACUCAUCUGAAAUCUCACAUAAGGGCUCAUGUGGUCCCUUGACACCACCCUUGGUUGAGGCUCCAAGUCCACCAGGUGGCUGGAGUUUCUGGUCACAGGCACUUAUAACUGCAAGACCCUUUCUCAUCUCUCAAAUUGUCUGAAGAAGGCAGAGGCUGAAGAAACUUUCUCUAAAUGGCGCAACCGAGGGAAAAGAGUAGCAAACUUUUCUCUACAAAUGUUUUGGAAAAACACACUAAGCUUUGAAUUUUCCAAUUACACCAGACUGUGUUAAGCCUCCAGGUGUCUGCACUGCUGCACUCUUUCUCCUUGUCCAUGUGCCUGCCAGCUCUGACAGCAUCACCUUUCUGCUUCUGAAGGUCAGUGGAGGCCACCUCCCCUUCCGCACUAUCCCUGCUCCCCUUUGCUGCCAGCCAGUGCUUUGUAAUGCUUGCUUUUCAUGCCUGACUUUGCUGCUCAAGGAAAACUCCUCCUGGUAUCCUUUCUGAAACCCUAGUACCCAGCACAGUGCCUGGACCAGAGCGGAUACUCAAUGAAAGAUUAUUGAACUGAUGCAAUUGUAUCAGAGAAUCUUUACAAUCAUCACGAGGCUUCUAGAGGAAGAACACAGCGACUUGCAUCAUCACCUUCAAAGAACUGGCCAACACUGAACCGGCAGAAAUCAAUGCUCAAAGCAAGGAAAUCCUGUCCCGACCCACCCGUCAUGACAUACUCAGUACCAGUUGCAUUCGUGGCAGGUAGUAGGUACUCAGAAUGGUUGACUGAAAUACAGAAUAACUUAAAUCUUAUAUAGUUAAUAGAAAUGGACAAGCCAUUUCUCUACACCCCCCAAUGAAACCCACAUUGAAUCAGCAGUUAAAGAGGACUAAAAAAUACAUACAAAAAGAAAACAGCAAAGCUGGAGCCAGAUACUGAGAUCCUGAGAUUCCCUGCCAGGACAUCUGCCACACCAGCUUUUACUCAGGAAUGUACCCCUUUGCUAGCCCAUGCCUCUGUGUGUUCCUUACCUGCUUCUGGCUAAUCCCCCAGGGGCGGCAGGCCCUUCAGGUCCUCAGGAAUUAGCACUAUUAUCCAUGGGAGGGAAGGUUUAUUGGGUCUGCAGGCCAAGGCCCAUUUUUCUCAGGAUGAUCAAAACUCAUCUGCAAAGGCAAAAAAUAAGAGACAGAAAGAGAGGAGGUGAGAGCUGUUUUCCAGCAGAGGCAGUGUUAAACAUUAACAAGAUGGAAAGGUGCUUAUGCAGACCUAGGCUAGGUCUCAAUCCAGGAAGCCUCCAGGGCUCAGGAAAAAGAGAGAGAGAAAAGCCUAUUAAAGGUGCAAUGCUCUGGAUCUGUGAACAGCACAGAUAGCCUAGAAAUAGACUUGACACUAGCCGGGUGUGGUGGCUCACACCUGUAAUCCCAGCACUUUGGGAGGCCGAGGCAGGCGGAUCAGGAUCAUGAGGACAGGAGAUCAAGACCAUCUUGGCUAACACGGUGAAACUCCAUCUCUACUAAAAUACAAAAAAAAAAUUAGCCAGGCAUGAUGGCGCACACCGGUAGUCCCAGCUACAAGGGAGGCUGAGGCAGGAGAAUUGCUUGAACCCGGGAGGCGGAGGUUGCAGUGAGCCGAGAUCACGCCACUGCACUCCAGCCUGGGCAACAGAGAGAGACUCUGUCUCAAAAGAAAAAAAAAAAAAAAAAAAAAGAAAUAGACUUGACACCAGAUAAGAAUGGGCUAGAAAGCUAAAGCGGCCACCAUGGACCAACCUGGGAAGAACAGGUUGUUUAAUUGCUGGCUUGGAGGUAAACAGGGAGUAAUUAGGUCCAUCCUGAAAUAAACUUCAUACAGAUUUUCAAAAAAUUAUUUAUUUUCAAAGAAUAUUUAAUAAUAUGUGAAAGUUCAAUCAGUAUAAUUGUAACUGAAAAAAUACGUUAUAAAACGGUAAACACUAUCCAAAUUCAGAAAAAAAAUACAUUUAAAAAAACGUGAAAAAGUACUAGGAAAAAGUACUAGAAAAAAGUACACCCAGAAUGGUAAUAAUAGAUGUUUUCAUCUUUUAUAAUUUUACAUAUAUUCCAAAAUUUCUAAAAUGUACAUCCAUUAUUCUUUGACUUUGAAAAAAUGUACAAAAGUAUAAAAAUGUAAUUUUAAAAAGCUAAAAAUAAGCCAGGCGUGCAUGCCUGUAGUCCCAGUUACUCAGGAGGUUGAGGAGGGAGGAUCAUUUGAGCCCAGGAGUUAGAGGCUGCAGUGAGCUAUGAGCGCCACUGCACUCCAGCCUAGGUGACAGAGUGAACCUGUCUCUAAACAAACCAACAAAAAACAGCUAAAAAUAUAAAUAUAUACCUGUCAGCUCUUUCUUCUUUUGAUGCGAUGUAGGAAAAUAGCAAAGGAAAAGUUUAAUACAUUCAGUUGCAAGAAAAUUUCAACAUCUAUACAAUGAAAAAUACUGUAACUACAAUAAAAAGGAAAAGUCAAAAUAUAAAAAGGGUUAAUAUAAUAAAAGUCUCCCAAAAUAAAGAGGUAAUCAACAUGAACAGACUAAUCACAAAAUAAAAAGCACAAUUAACAAGCAUAUAAAGUUAUGGUUAAUCAUGAGAGAAACCCAAGAGGGGCAACUAGAAUACUGAGAAACUAGUUUAUAGAAUUUACAUUCGUCCGCAGUUUUCUACAUGAUAAUACUCAUUGCUGGACAGAUUAUAAUUAAAUCGAUAUAUAUUCAAAGGAUCAUAUAAAUUAAUGUAACCUUUCUAGAAUGUAUUCAGGCCAUAGAAUUAAGAGCUUCUGACCAUGGACCAGGCUACUGUACUUCUAGGAAAUAAGAGUGAAUAAAUAAAUAAUUCAUAAAUAAUUCAAAAGAUUACAUACUCCAGUUUCCCCACAUGUAAAAUGAUUCUCUACAUUACAUAGUUCUGAUGACAAAUGAAAGAGGAUUAAUGAGAUAAAGAAUAUGAGUUCUAUAAAGCAAUACGCACACAAAGAAGAAAAGGGUUUUUUUAAAAAAUAAUUUUAAUUUAUAUGUUAGAUUCAGGGGGUAUGUAUGCAGGCUUGUUACCUGGUAUAUUGCACAAUGCUGAGGCUUGGGGUAUGAUUGAUCCUGCCAUGCAGGUACUGAAUAAUUCAUUUUUUAGCUCUUUCCCCAGCCUUCCCCGUCUUGUAGUCCCCAGUGUUUAUUAUUGCCAUCUUUAUGUCUAUCAGCAUUCAUUGUUUAGUUCCCACUUAUAAGUGACAACAUAUGGCAUUUGGUUUUCUGUUCCUGCAUUAUUAAUUUGCUUAGGAUAAUGGCUUCCAGCUGCAUCCAUGUUGCUGCAAAGGGCAUGGCUUUGUUCUUUUUCAUGGCUGUGUACUAUUCCACAGUGUAUAUGUACCAUAUUUUCUUUAUCCAGUCCACCACUGAUGGGCACCUAGGCUGAUUCCAUUCUUUGCUAUUGUGAAUAGUGCUGCAAUAAACACACAAGUGCAUGUCUCUUUUUGGUAGAAACAUUUAUUUCCUUUUGGAUAUAUACCCAGUAAUGUGAUUGCUGAGUUGAAUAGUAGUUCUGUUUUCAAGUUUUCUGAGAAAUCUCCAAAUUGCUUUUCAUGGUGGCUGAACUAAUUAACAUUCUCAACAACAGUGUGUAGGUGUUCCCUUUUCCCUGCAGCCUCCCUAGCAUCUGGUGUUUUUUGACUUAAUAAUAGCCAUUCUGACUGACGUGAGGGGGUAUCUCACUGUGCUUUUGUUUGCUUUUCUCUAAUAAUUAGUGAUACUGAGCAUUUUUCAUGUUUGUUGGCAGCUUAUAUGCAUCUUUUGAGAAUUGUCUGUUCAUAUCUUUUGCUCACAUUUUAAUGUUGUUAUUUGUUUUUUGCUUGUUCAAUUGUUUAAGUUUCUUAUAGAUUCUGGAUAUUAGAUCUUUGUCAGAUGCAUAGCUUGCAAAUAUUUUCUUCCAUUCUGUAGGUUGUCUGUUUAUUCUGUUG